CCUACGGGUGGCAGCAGUCGAGAAUCAUUCACAAUGGGGGAAACCCUGAUGGUGCGACGCCGCGUGGGGGAAUGAAGGUCUUCGGAUUGUAAACCCCUGUCAUGUGGGAGCAAAUUAAAAAGAUAGUACCACAAGAGGAAGAGACGGCUAACUCUGUGCCAGCAGCCGCGGUAAUACAGAGGUCUCAAGCGUUGUUCGGAAUCACUGGGCGUAAAGCGUGCGUAGGCUGUUUCGUAAGUCGUGUGUGAAAGGCGCGGGCUCAACCCGCGGACGGCACAUGAUACUGCGAGACUAGAGUAAUGGAGGGGGAACCGGAAUUCUCGGUGUAGCAGUGAAAUGCGUAGAUAUCGAGAGGAACACUCGUGGCGAAGGCGGGUGCCUGGACAUUAACUGACGCUGAGGCACGAAGGCCAGGGGAGCGAAAAGGAUUAGAUACCCGAGUAGUC
rnacentral:rRNA from 1 species